GCUGCUCAGGGAGCCGGACCAAUGGGAGGCGACGAGUUCUUCCGUGUUGCACUCUGGGAAGUGGUGUUCCAGGUUGUCGUAGCGUAUAGCUAGAUAAUGAUGUUGACGGUGUCCCAUGUUAUGGUGAUCAGAGGAUAGAGAGGAUGGCUGCGUACCUUUGUAAACAAUCUUUCAAACAGCAGUAUAGCCAGACUGUAGAGGCUUCCACUCGGGAACAGAGUGGGAGUUACAGGAGGGGAGGCGACAAAUGGAGAGCAGAGGAGCAGCUGCAGCAGAGGGACGGCCAGGGCUCUGGGAUCUACACGGAGGAGAGAGCCAUCUGAUCUCCUGCCUGCCUGCCACUUCACCUCACCCACUGCUGCUCUCAGGGGAGAAUGCAUCACACAAAACUCAUCAUUUGGCCAUGUGAAGCACUCAUUUUGACGACGAUGCAGCACGAAACCCAAAUAUGUGCAAAUAAUCAGCAACUGUUGUGACUUGAGAGAUCAAUAAUGCCAGUGUUGAUGUGUUUUAAAUCUUAAGCAAUAAUUUUAUGGGUAUCUGUAUAUGGUUUCACUUUAAAAAAAAUAAUUUAAAGACAUUAUAAUUGUUAUUGGUUUACAAGUUUGCUAUUGUUAUACAAUGGGCAAAUUUUGAGGUAGGUUCUGGGGUUAGAUUUCUUUAAAUGGAGCUAGCUUUUGUCAUUGUGGAAGAAAUCCAAAGCAGUCCUAAAUACCAGCCAGUUUUGACCCAAAACCUUCAGGUGUCUCCUAGAAAGCUGAAAAGGGAUUGUUAUUUUUUUUGCAUCUUUGUGAGACCAAGCAUACAUAGACCAAGCAUACAUCUAAACUGUCCAAAUAAUGGUUUCAUGGGAGGAUAAUUAAAGUUUUGCAAUGGCCAAGCCAGAUUUCCUGGAUAUGUCUGUAGAUAAAUGAUGUCCUCACACCUGAGAGAU